rnacentral:rRNA from 1 species
UGAGGAAUAUUGGUCAAUGGCCGAGAGGCUGAACCAGCCAAGUCGCGUGAGGGAUGACGGCCCUAUGGGUUGUAAACCUCUUUUGUCGGGGAGCAAAGAGCCGGACGUGUCCGGCCUCGAGAGUACCCGAAGAAAAAGCAUCGGCUAACUCCGUGCCAGCAGCCGCGGUAAUACGGAGGAUGCGAGCGUUAUCCGGAUUUAUUGGGUUUAAAGGGUGCGCAGGCGGGCUGUCAAGUCAGCGGUAAAAUUGAGAGGCUCAACCUCUUCCGGCCGUUGAAACUGAUGGUCUUGAGUGAGCGAGAAGUAUGCGGAAUGCGUGGUGUAGCGGUGAAAUGCAUAGAUAUCACGCAGAACUCCGAUUGCGAAGGCAGCAUACCGGCGCUCAACUGACGCUCAUGCACGAAAGCGUGGGUAUCGAACAGG